UACGAAGGGGGCUAGCGUUGCUCGGAAUCACUGGGCGUAAAGGGUGCGUAGGCGGGUCUUUUAAGUCAGGGGUGAAAUCCUGGAGCUCAACUCCAGAACUGCCUUUGAUACUGAAGAUCUUGAGUUCGGGAGAGGUGAGUGGAACUGCGAGUGUAGAGGUGAAAUUCGUAGAUAUUCGCAAGAACACCAGUGGCGAAGGCGGCUCACUGGCCCGAUACUGACGCUGAGGCACGAAAGCGUGGGGGAGCAAACAGGA
rnacentral:rRNA from 1 species